rnacentral:rRNA from 1 species
CCUACGGGAGGCAGCAGUGGGGAAUAUUGGGCAAUGGGCGCAAGCCUGACCCAGCAACGCCGCGUGAAGGAAGAAGGCUUUCGGGUUGUAAACUUCUUUUAAGGGGGAAGAGCAGAAGACGGUACCCCUUGAAUAAGCCACGGCUAACUACGUGCCAGCAGCCGCGGUAAUACGUAGGUGGCAAGCAUUGUCCGGAUUUACUGGGUGUAAAGGGCGUGCAGCCGGGGAGACAAGUCAGAUGUGAAAUCCACGGGCUCAACCCGUGAACUGCAUUUGAAACUGUUUCCCUUGAGUGUCGGAGAGGUAAUCGGAAUUCCUUGUGUAGCGGUGAAAUGCGUAGAUAUAAGGAAGAACACCAGUGGCGAAGGCGGAUUACUGGACGAUAACUGACGGUGAGGCGCGAAAGCGUGGGGAGCAAACAGGAUUAGAUACCCUUGUAGUC